CUACGGAGGGUGCAAGCGUUACUCAGAAUCACUGGGCGUAAAGCGCGCGCAGGCGGCUUGAUAAGUUGGAUGUGAAAGCCUACGGCUCAACCGUAGAACUGCAUCCAAAACUGUCAGUCUAGAGUGUGGGAGAGGAAGAUGGAAUUAGUUGUGUAGGGGUAAAAUACGUAGAGAUAACUAGGAAUACCAAAAGCGAAGGCAAUCUUCUGGAACACUACUGACGCUGAGGCGCGAAGGCGUGGGGAGCAAACAGGAUUAGAAACCCCAGUAGUCC
rnacentral:rRNA from 1 species